UGCUAUUCCUGCCGCAUAACUCUCUCUUCCCCAGGCUUUUCCCAUCUCCAUCCUAUUCUCUCGCAGGUGCUGGGGGAAAAGAUUACUUCCCAGAUGCAGUAUUUACAUCUCCUCCGCCCUACUCUUCCAACUCUGCCUGAAAUAAGUGUGGUUCUCCUGUCUGUCAGACUAUGAAGAGUUCUCAAAUAUGUCUUUCCCAGCGAGGGAGAGGAGAAAACUUCAGCCUCCACGAUCGAUGUUUCUCAAGUGUCAAGGAAAAUGGAGCCUAGGAGGGCAGCCCCACAAGCAGCGUGAUGGGCAUUUAAGCCGACGCAUGUGCCAGGUCCUAGAACAGAGUAACUUCCCCAUCUCAACACAAUAAAAUGGUGAUAUGAGAA
rnacentral:antisense_RNA from 1 species